ACGCUCGACACCUACGGUAGGCAGCAGUGGGGAAUAUUGGGCAAUGGGCGAAAGCCUGACCCAGCAACGCCGCGUGAGGGAAGAAGGUUUUCGGAUUGUAAACCUCUGUCCUCAGGGACGAAGGACGUGACGGUACCUGAGGAGGAAGCCCCGGCUAACUACGUGCCAACAGCCGCGGUAAUCUGAGCGGGCUGGCAAGGC
rnacentral:rRNA from 1 species